CCUACGGGUGGCAGCAGUGAGGAAUAUUGGUCAAUGGACGCGAGUCUGAACCAGCCAAGUAGCGUGAAGGAUGACGGCCCUACGGGUUGUAAACUUCUUUUAUGCGGGAAUAAAGUGAGUCACGUGUGCCUUAUUGCAUGUACCCCAUGAAUAAGGAUCGGCUAACUCCGUGCCAGCAGCCGCGGUAAUACGGAGGGUCCGAGCGUUAUCCGGAUUUAUUGGGUUUAAAGGGAGCGUAGGCGGGCGGUUAAGUGAGUUGUGAAAGUGUGCGGCUCAACCGUGUCACUGCAGUUGAAACUGGGGGCCUUGAGUGCGCCAGAGGUAGGCGGAAUUCGUGGUGUAGCGGUGAAAUGCUUAGAUAUCACGAAGAACUCCGAUUGCGAAGGCAGCCUACCGGAGCGUUACUGACGCUGAGGCUCGAAAGUGUGGGUAUCGAACAGGAUUAGAUACCCGAGUAGUC
rnacentral:rRNA from 1 species